UAGCGUGGUAGUAGGACUAGGAGGCUGGAAUUGGAUCAGUAAUUUGCAUUAUUUCUCACACUUUCGUGUGCAGGAGUUCGAAAAAAUUCUUUGUUUCUAGAACGUGUUCACCAUGCACGUUUUACAACUAGCUAGGCGAAUAUGGAUCAAGUUUCUCGCGAAUAGGUCUGCGUGGUGUCUGGUGUGUUUUAAAUGCGAGAUGUGCACAAUAGAAGCUCUGACAGACCUGAAGGUUUUAGCUGAAGGUUUCUGAGGGGACGUGAGUUGCUGAUGUAACAUCCUUGAAAACUGAAAUGGUCUAAACUGUACAGUUGGAAUAAUGAACAAAUUAGGAGUUUACGCAGAAUUCAUGGAAGGGGAGCGAGCCCAUGACACACCAUUUCACUGUGUUGAUAUUUAUCAUUUGACAUGAUAUUCUUGUGACGUCGGACAGUAGCCAUUCAAAGUUGUAUUUUGUAUAGGCAAUUCACCUAUUCAUUUUUCGUACUUUUAUUUGAGGUUUGAGCCUGCAAUCAUUAAAAAACUGGAUGAUUUCCUUUCUAGGUUGCAUAGAUUCUGUUACAUGGGUAAUAGCUAAUCUGUUAUUCAAGGCUAUAAUUGGAUAGAGAUUAUAGCUAAUGAACUGUGUUUAGCUGUUUGCUAUACUGUGGGUUGUAAACAUUUUCCAUCCCCUAAAAGAUUUUAGUUUUGUUUUUUUCCACUUCCUUUUUACUCAUAAGUCCUCUAGCUGAUCGCUGACCUCCUCCUUCAGGCACUGCGUAUUGUCGGUUUCACAGCCAUAUGCAUAUAAGGAACGUUGUGGCAAAUAUCAAAGGGGCCACCGUAGGUAUACCAAAAUUUUAAAUAAUUUUAUUAAUUUAUUAUCUUUAUUAAUUUUCACUUUGAGCGUAAGUUCGAAUGUUAUUCAUGUUGUUGACAGCUUUCUGUUAUAAUCUCCCAACACCUUGGAAUUCAUCAACAACCUGAUGUAGUCUUCUUGGUUAUACGUCUGAAGGUCUGUACUUUGAGUAUUAGAAACAUCAUAAUGAAUUAAUAGCAAAAUAACGUCAGUCAAAACAUAAAGUAUACCAAUAGUAACGAGGUACCCUUUGCACUGAAGAACUUGAGCUCCGCAUGUUAAGUUCAUAGAUGGCGUUGCGGCUGUUCGGUACCACAUCGGCAGUAGGCUUCCGUAUUUGGCAGGUUUAAAAGCGCCAAUCUUUAAAAAUCUCAAUAUACCAGAGCACUCUGGCGGGCGAAAACUGCGAAAGCAAACUGACGAUUAGACAGCGCCAUCUCUGGAACUUACCAUGCCUAUCUCAAAUUAUUUUGCAGGCGUUUCAACUUCUUGAUACUUUAUGGUGUAUUGAUCGAUUAUGACGAUAUUGAAUAUAUUACGACAU